GAUUUGAUCGUGGCUCAGAUUGAACGCUGGCGGCAUGCCUUACACAUGCAAGUCGAACGGCAGCACGGGAGCUUGCUCCUGGUGGCGAGUGGCGAACGGGUGAGUAAUGCAUCGGAACGUAUCCUGGAGUGGGGGAUAACGUAGCGAAAGUUACGCUAAUACCGCAUAUUCUGUGAGCAGGAAAGCGGGGGACCUUCGGGCCUCGCGCUCUUGGAGCGGCCGAUGUCGGAUUAGCUAGUUGGUGAGGUAAAGGCUCACCAAGGCGACGAUCCGUAGCAGGUCUGAGAGGAUGAUCUGCCACACUGGAACUGAGACACGGUCCAGACUCCUACGGGAGGCAGCAGUGGGAAUUUUGGACAAUGGGGGCAACCCUGAUCCAGCCAUGCCGCGUGAGUGAAGAAGGCC
rnacentral:rRNA from 1 species